GGAGAUAUCUUUCUUCGUUAAAAAAACUAAGAACAGACGAAAAGGAACAAGGAAAUCAAAACCAAGAGAAAAAAAAACUGGUUCACGAUCUCCCAAAUAUCACGAUCGAGAAUCCGGUAAUAUAUAUUUUCCUUUACAACUCUAGCAGACAAGAAGAUUAUAUCGAGGAAGAGGAAGAAAUUAACACCUGCAAUAUCUGUAAACUCUUUUUCUUUAACUUGGAGAAACAAAAGAAACUAUCUAGAUAUUAGACCAGACCAGAACCUAGAAAGAAAAAACAACAACGAUCUGGAGGAGAACACGACUGUACGUGUAGAAGACAACAGUAUGCAUGUGUAUAGAGAGAAGGGGGACAAAAAAAGGAGAAGUUUUCUUUCUCCGUCCUCUUCCUAGCUAUAUUGAAUGUUUUAAAGGAGAUUGCUGUAAUCGCAGUUACAAAAGAUGCAAGAGACCACCACCAAUGGCCAAGCCCUAGCCGGAAGAAGAUGCCCCCGUCCUCGUCCUCCUCCGCUCUCC
rnacentral:lncRNA from 1 species